CGCUGGCGGCAGGCCUAACACAUGCAAGUCGAGCGGCAGCACAGAGGAACUUGUUCCUUGGGUGGCGAGCGGCGGACGGGUGAGUAAUGCCUGGGAAAUUGCCCUGAUGUGGGGGAUAACCAUUGGAAACGAUGGCUAAUACCGCAUGAUGCUUACGGGCCAAAGAGGGGGACCUUCGGGCCUCUCGCGUCAGGAUAUGCCCAGGUGGGAUUAGCUAGUUGGUGAGGUAAUGGCUCACCAAGGCGACGAUCCCUAGCUGGUCUGAGAGGAUGAUCAGCCACACUGGAACUGAGACACGGUCCAGACUCCUACGGGAGGCAGCAGUGGGGAAUAUUGCACAAUGGGCGCAAGCCUGAUGCAGCCAUGCCGCGUGUAUGAAGAAGGCCUUCGGGUUGUAAAGUACUUUCAGUCGUGAGGAAGGUUGUAGUGUGAAUAGCACUAUGAUUUGACGUUAGCGACAGAAGAAGCACCGGCUAACUCCGUGCCAGCAGCCGCGGUAAUACGGAGGGUGCGAGCGUUAAUCGGAAUUACUGGGCGUAAAGCGCAUGCAGGUGGUUUGUUAAGUCAGAUGUGAAAGCCCUGGGCUCAACCUAGGAGUUGCAUUUGAAACUGACAAGCUAGAGUACUGUAGAGGGGGGUAGAAUUUC
rnacentral:rRNA from 1 species